rnacentral:rRNA from 1 species
ACAUGGAUAACCGUGGUAAUUCUAGAGCUAAUACAUGCAGUAAAACCUGACUUUUUGAAAAGGUUGUAUUUAUUAAAUAUCAAACCAAUAUUCCUUCGGGUCUAUGGUGAUGAUUCAUAAUAACUGAUCGAAGCUUAGCUAGGCUAAACUAAAUCAUUCUUUUUUCUGCCCUAUCUACUUUCUAUGGUAUUGUAUUGGACUACCAUGGCAGUCACGGGUAACGGGGAAUUACGGUUCGAUUCCGGAAAGGGAACCUGAGAAAAGGCUACCACAUCUAAGGAAGGCGGCAGGAACGUAAAUUACCCAAUCCUGACUCAGGGAGGAAGUGACAAAAAAUAACAACUCCGGACCUCUCAGCUUACUAGAUUGCAAUGAAAACAAUUUAAACCACUUAUAUAGGAACAAUU